rnacentral:rRNA from 1 species
GAGCGACAGAUAAGGAGCUUGCUCCUUUGACGUUAGCGGCGGACGGGUGAGUAACACGUGGGUAACCUACCUAUAAGACUGGGAUAACUUCGGGAAACCGGAGCUAAUACCGGAUAACAUUUGGAACCGCAUGGUUCUAAAGUGAAAGAUGGUUUUGCUAUCACUUAUAGAUGGACCCGCGCCGUAUUAGCUAGUUGGUAAGGUAACGGCUUACCAAGGCGACGAUACGUAGCCGACCUGAGAGGGUGAUCGGCCACACUGGAACUGAGACACGGUCCAGACUCCUACGGGAGGCAGCAGUAGGGAAUCUUCCGCAAUGGGCGAAAGCCUGACGGAGCAACGCCGCGUGAGUGAUGAAGGGUUUCGGCUCGUAAAACUCUGUUAUUAGGGAAGAACAAAUGUGUAAGUAACUGUGCACAUCUUGACGGUACCUAAUCAGAAAGCCACGGCUAACUACGUGCCAGCAGCCGCGGUAAUACGUAGGUGGCAAGCGUUAUCCGGAAUUAUUGGGCGUAAAGCGCGCGUAGGCGGUUUCUUAAGUCUGAUGUGAAAGCCCACGGCUCAACCGUGGAGGGUCAUUGGAAACUGGGAAACUUGAGUGCAAAAAAGGAAAGUGGAAUUCCCUGUGUAGCGGUGAAAUGCGCGAGAUAUGGAGGAACACCAGGGGCGAAAGCGACUUUUUGGUCUGUAACUGUCGCACAUAUGCGAAACGUGUGGAGCAAAAAGGAGUCUUCGCCCCUGGUGGUUCCCCCCUAUACGCGAAUGCGCCGAGUUGACAGGGGAUUCCACCUUUCUUCUUGCGGCAUCAA